ACCCGGGUAGUCCACGCCCUAAACGAUGCGAACUGGAUGUUGGGUACAUUACGGUACUCAGUGUCGAAGCUAACGCGUUAAGUUCGCCGCCUGGGGAGUACGGUCGCAAGACUGAAACUCAAAGGAAUUGACGGGGGCCCGCACAAGCGGUGGAGUAUGUGGUUUAAUUCGAUGCAACGCGAAGAACCUUACCUGGCCUUGACAUCUGUCGAAUCCUGCAGAGAUGCGGGAGUGCCGCAAGGAACGACAAGACAGGUGCUGCAUGGCUGUCGUCAGCUCGUGUCGUGAGAUGUUGGGUUAAGUCCCGCAACGAGCGCAACCCUUGUCCCUAGUUGCCAGCACGUAAUGGUGGGAACUCUAGGGAGCCUGCCGGUGACAAACCGGAGGAAGGUGGGGAUGACGUCAAGUCCUCAUGGCCCUUACGGCCAGGGCUACACACGUACUACAAUGGUCGGUACAGAGGGUUGCGAAGCCGCGAGGUGGAGCCAAUCCCAGAAAACCGAUCCCAGUCCGGAUCGGAGUCUGCAACUCGACUCCGU
rnacentral:rRNA from 1 species